ACUCCUACGGGAGGCAGCAGUGGGGAAUAUUGCACAAUGGGCGCAAGCCUGAUGCAGCCAUGCCGCGUGUAUGAAGAAGGCCUUGGGUUGUAAAGUACUUUCAGCAGUGAGGAAGGUGGGGUAUGUUAAUAGCAUAUUCAUUUGACGUUAGCUGCAGAAGAAGCACCGGCUAACUCCGUGCCAGCAGCCGCGGUAAUACGGAGGGUGCGAGCGUUAAUCGGAAUUACUGGGCGUAAAGCGCAUGCAGGUGGUUUGUUAAGUCAGAUGUGAAAGCCCGGGGCUCAACCUCGGAAUUGCAUUUGAAACUGGCAAACUAGAGUACUGUAGAGGGGGUAGAAUUUCAGGUGUAGCGGUGAAAUGCGUAGAGAUCUGAAGGAUACCGGUGGCGAAGGCGGCCCCUGGACAGAUACUGACACUCAGAUGCGAAAGCGUGGGAGCGAAA
rnacentral:rRNA from 1 species